GAUGAGGACGGUAUGCCAUCUUUUUAAAAAGUGCUGUGGUGCUAUUCUCUGUAGACUGGACACACUCGCUGGAUGAAAGAAGCUCCCAAAUUACAGUAGUGAUGACAGUUGGAAAGGUAACCAAUAAAAUUUAGUGCUACUCAAUCCCAGGGCAAAGAAGACAUGAACUGAGUUGGAAUGUUAUUCAGAACACAUGAACCACAGUGGUAUUUGACUGUAGAUGGCUGAUCAUAAGGUGGUCAACAUGGUGGUUAAUUGAGCUGCUAACAAAGAACUCUAUACGGUCUUCCUCUACAGAGAUCUAUAGGCAGGUAAUACUCACUUUCCAUUACAAAUUUGCUUUCAGAAUAGACAGAGAGAGGAAAAUUAAAUUAA
rnacentral:lncRNA from 1 species